UAAACUUUUACAAAAAUCUUCUCCUCUGAAACUACUUAGCCAAAUUUAACCAAACUUGGCCACAAUCAUCCUUGGGGUAUCUAGUUUAAAAAAUGUGUCCGAUGACCUGACCAUCAAAUCAAGAUGGCCGCCACGGCUAAAAAUAGAACACAGGGGUAAAAUGCAGUUUUUGGCUUAUAACUCAAAAACCAAAGCAUUUAGAGCAAAUCUGACAUGGGGUAAAAUUGAUUAUCAGGUCAAGAUCUAUCUGCCCUGAAA
rnacentral:lncRNA from 1 species